rnacentral:lncRNA from 1 species
CCCGGGGCCCAGGCGCCGCGGCCCGGCACCCCGUGGAAGAGCCGCGCGUACAGCCCGGGCAUCCAGGGGUGAGUGCGCGGGGAGGCCGCGGGGGCGGGGGCGGGGCCCAUGGUCCUGGCCGGCGCCCGCGGUGCAGACACCCGUCCCAGGCGCCCGGGCUUUUGGAGGAUGGAUGUUGAAGGCUAAGGCCAAGGCCCGACUCUGCACUGAAAGUUUUUUUUUUAAACAUCAGACUCAUUUAUCGUGGAGUGACUUGCCCAGAUCCUACAAGUAACAGUCCAAGAAAAGGGGCUGCUGGGUAGGACCUGCAGGUAUUUGUCUUUUUUACUCUUGAGAUUGGAACGGGAAAUCGACUCUCUACCCCUCCACCCCGCCUCCGGGCAAGUGAGGAACCCCUUGUCAAAGUGGGGCGUAGAUAAGUGUGGAGUUUCACGUAAGUUAAGUUGCAGAAUAAUUUAGCAUUGCCAGGAACUCGAAUCACGUCGAAGACUACAUGAGGAAAUAAUUGACUUUUAUAACUUCAUGUCCCCUUGUCCUGAAGAAGCAGCUAUGAGAAGAGAGGUGGUGAAACGGAUCGAAACUGUGGUGAAAGACCUUUGGCCG